ACCCUUGUGUAUUAUUACUUUGUUGCUUUGGCGAGCUGCCUUCGGGCCUUGUAUGCUCGCCAGAGAAUACCAAAACUCUUUUUAUUAAUGUCGUCUGAGUACUAUAUAAUAGUUAAAACUUUCAACAACGGAUCUCUUGGUUCUGGCAUCGAUGAAGAACGCAGCGAAAUGCGAUAAGUAAUGUGAAUUGCAGAAUUCAGUGAAUCAUCGAAUCUUUGAACGCACAUUGCGCCCCUUGGUAUUCCGGGGGGCAUGCCUGUUCGAGCGUCAUUUCAACCCUCAAGCUUAGCUUGGUAUUGAGUCUAUGUCAGUAAUGGCAGGCUCUAAAAUCAGUGGCGGCGCCGCUGGGUCCUGAACGUAGUAAUAUCUCUCGUUACAGGUUCUCGGUGUGCUUCUGCCAAAACCCAAAUUUUUCUAUGGUUGACCUCGGAUCAGGUAGGGAUACCCGCUGAACUUAAGCAUAUCAAUAA
rnacentral:rRNA from 1 species